GAUGAAGAACGUAGCGAAAUGCGAUAAGUAAUGUGAAUUGCAGAAUUCAGUGAAUCAUCGAAUCUUUGAACGCACAUUGCGCCCGCCAGUAUUCUGGCGGGCAUGCCUGUUCGAGCGUCAUUACAACCCUCAGGCCCCCGGGCCUGGCGUUGGGGAUCGGCGGAAGCCCCCUGCGGGCACAACGCCGUCCCCCAAAUACAGUGGCGGUCCCGCCGCAGCUUCCAUUGCGUAGUAGCUAACACCUCGCAACUGGAGAGCGGCGCGGCCACGCCGUAAAACACCCAACUUCUGAAUGUUGACCUCGAAUCAGGUAGGAAUACCCGCUGAACUUAAGCAUACAAUAGCGGAGGA
rnacentral:misc_RNA from 1 species